GACAAUAUCUUCUGUUCAUAAUUUGUUGUUUGAAACAGAUGAUUAUGGACUGGUUAAACAAAGCACUGUAUUUCCUUCUGAAGCUUGUAGGAGCUCCCAUUUACAUGUUGAACUUCUUGCGUAUAUUUCACAUGGUUCCAAGUCCGGAAUAUGGUCCCUAGGCUACUGGAUCUAUGAGCUGGCUGCACUGAAGCAUGCAUUCAAAGUAUUUAUCAUCGUUGGUGUCGUGACGUUGAAGUUAUCAGUAAGUAAUUGUUGAGGUAUGCUCUUGUUUUAUUGGGUCCAUUUGCCUGGGCAUUGACGAUUUGCUUGAACAAUGAUCUGCUCUUUGACUGCAUGCGUGCGCAUCCUACUUGUUAAGUCAGCAGUUUCUUCAUGUAGUUUAUUUUCAGUCUUGUUAAAAUAGUUCACCUUUUGCCAUCUAGAGAUGACGCUAUUUGUAGUGACACGUAAUUUGUUUCUGACCAACUAACUGGAUUUUCCCCAGUUUGAGUUCUGCAGCUCCUUCAAAGAAAAUGUCUUGUAAGAAUUACUUAUGUAAGCUCGUUUAGUUUCUGUUCACAUGAUGCUGCUUGUAAUACUCCAGUCAUCUACAUUACUGCUGCCAUUUAUUUAAAUUUCUGCGGCGGCCAUUGGCAUUAUUUACUUAAGCUAGGAGGCUAAUCUAACUCUAUAACCAGUUGUGUCUUUGUGCAGGCUAGAAAACCUGCAUUGAAUGUCUACGAUCAUACAAUAUAUUCUAAGUUCAAUUCUCACUUUCUCAAAGGCAAACGCAU